rnacentral:rRNA from 1 species
CGGUUGAUCCUGCCAGAGGUUACUGCUAUCGGGGUCCGACUAAGCCAUGGGAGUUGAGAGGGGUAAGCCCUCGGCAUACUGCUCAGUAACACGCGGAUAACCUGCCCUUGGGUUCGGGAUAACCCCGGGAAACUGGGACUAAUACCGGAUAGAUCAAAGAAACUGGAAUGUUCUCUGGUUAAAAACUCCGGUGCCCAAGGAUGGGUCUGCGGCCUAUCAGGUAGUAGUGGGUGUAACGUACCUACUAGCCUGCGACGGGUAAGGGUUGUGAGAGCAAGAGCCCUGAGAUGGAUUCUGAGACAUGAAUCCAGGCCCUACGGGGUGCAGCAGGCGCGAAAACUUUACACUGCGGGAAACCGCGAUAAGGGGACCCUGAGUGCCAGCACCUAGUGCUGGCUGUCCAGCUGUCCAAAUAACAGUUGUUAGCAAGGGCCGGGCAAGACCGGUGCCAGCCGCCGCGGUAACACCGGCGGCCCGAGUGGUAGCCGUUAUUAUUGGGUUUAAAGGGUCCGUAGCCGGCCUAUUAAGUCUCUUGGGAAAUCUGGCGACUCAAUCGUCAGUCGUCCAAGAGAUACUGGUAGGCUUGGGACCGGGAGAGGUGGGAGGUACUCCAGGGGUAGGGGUGAAAUCUCGUAAUCCUUGGGGGACCACCGAUGGCGAAGGCAUCCCACCAGAACGGGUCCGACGGUGAGGGACGAAAGCUGGGGGCACGAACCGGAUUAGAUACCCGGGUAGUCCCAGCCGUAAACGAUGCUCGCUAGGUGUCAGGUGCGGUGCGACCGCAUCUGGUGCCGCAGUGAAAACUUGAAGCGAGUCACCUGGGAAGUACGGUCGCAAGGCUGAAACUUAAAGGAAUUGGCGGGG